ACAGCAGUAGCCGCGGUAGUACGUAGGUGGCAAGCGUUGUCCGGAAUUAUUGGGCGUAAAGGGCUCGCAGGCGGUUUCUUAAGUCUGAUGUGAAAGCCCCCGGCUCAACCGGGGAGGGUCAUUGGAAACUGGGAAACUUGAGUGCAGAAGAGGAGAGUGGAAUUCCACGUGUAGCGGUGAAAUGCGUAGAGAUGUGGAGGAACACCAGUGGCGAAGGCACUCUGCUGGGCCGACACUGACACUGAGAGACGAAAGCUAGGGGAGCAAAUGGGAUUAGAUACCCCGGUAGUCCCUGUCUCUUAUAC
rnacentral:rRNA from 1 species